AGUUUGAUUCUGGCUCAGGAUGAACGCUGGCGGCAUGCCUAAGACAUGCAAGUCGAACGAAGAAGCCUGAUGAAGAUGGAGUGCUUGCACAAAGUUGGAUUCAGUUUACUUCUUAGUGGCGAACGGGUGAGUAACACGUAGGUAACCUGCCCUUAAGACGAGGAUAACAGUUGGAAACGACUGAUAAUACUGGAUAGGACAUUAUAAAUCGCAUGAUAAAAUGUUUAAAGGAGCGAUCCACUUAAGGAGGGGCCUGCGGCGCAUUAGCUAGUUGGUGAGGUAAAGGCUCACCAAGGCGAUGAUGCGUAGCCGGACUGAGAGGUUGAACGGCCACAAUGGAACUGAGAACGGUCCAUACUCCUACGGGAGGCAGCAGUAGGGAAUUUUCGGCAAUGGAGGGAACUCUGACCGAGCAACGCCGCGUGAACGAAGAAGUAUUUCGGUAUGUAAAGUUCUUUUAUCAGGGAAGAAAAUAAAUUGACGGUACCUGAUGAAUAAGCUCCGGCUAACUACGUGCCAGCAGCCGCGGUAAUACGUAGGGAGCGAGCGUUAUCCGGAAUUAUUGGGCGUAAAGGGUGCGUAGAUGGCAUAUAAAGUCUAUUGUAAAAGUGCUAGGCUCAACCUAGUGAGGCAAUAGAAACUAAUAAGCUAGAGUACAGAAGAGGCAAGUGGAAUUCCAUGUGUAGCGGUAAAAUGCGUAAAUAUAUGGAGGAACACCAGUGGCGAAGGCGGCUUGCUGGUCUGAUACUGACAUUGAGGCACGAAAGCGUGGGGAGCAAACAGGAUUAGAUACCCUGGUAGUCCACGCCCUAAACGA
rnacentral:rRNA from 1 species